UACGUAGGGGGCAAGCGUUGUCCGGAAUCAUUGGGCGUAAAGCGCGCGUAGGCGGCUAGAUCAGUCUGCUGUAAAAGUCAAAGGCUCAACCUUUGAAAGCCGGUGGAUACUGUCUAGCUAGAGUCCGGAAGAGGCGAGUGGAAUUCCUGGUGUAGCGGUGGAAUGCGCAGAUAUCAGGAGGAACACCAACGGCGAAGGCAGCUCUCUGGGACGGUACUGACGCUGAGACGCGAAAGCGUGGGGAGCGAACAGG
rnacentral:rRNA from 1 species